CAACCCUCAGGCCCGGCCUGGUGUUGGGGAUCUGCCGCGCGCAGCCCCCGAAAGAGAGCGGCGGUCCCGUCUCCCGGCUCCGAGCGUAGUAGCAUACUUAGCUCAGGGCGCCGGGCGGGCCACUUGCCGGAAAACACCCCUUUUUCUCAA
rnacentral:misc_RNA from 1 species